CCCCCAACUUUCUGAAGUUUGACCUCGAAUCAGGUAGGAUUACCCGCUGAACUUAAGCAUAUCAAUAAGCGGAGGAAAAGAAACCAACAGGGAUUGCCCUAGUAACGGCGAGUGAAGCGGCAACAGCUCAAAUUUGAAAUCUGGCCCUCGGGUCCGAGUUGUAAUUUGUAGAGGAUGCUUUUGGUGAGGUACCUUCCGAGUUCCCUGGAACGGGACGCCAUAGAGGGUGAGAGCCCCGUCUGGUUGGAUACCGAUCCUCUGUAAAGCUCCUUCAACGAGUCGAGUAGUUUGGGAAUGCUGCUCUAAAUGGGAGGUAUAUGUCUUCUAAAGCUAAAUAUUGGCCAGAGACCGAUAGCGCACAAGUAGAGUGAUCGAAAGAUGAAAAGCACUUUGAAAAGAGAGUUAAAAAGUACGUGAAAUUGUUGAAAGGGAAGCGCUUAUGACCAGACUUGGACUUGGUUGAUCAUCCUGGGUUCUCCCUGGUGCACUCUUCCAGUUCAGGCCAGCAUCAGUUCAUCGCGGGGGAUAAAGGCUUUAGGAAUGUGGCUCCUUCGGGAGUGUUAUAACCUAUUGUGUAAUACCCUGCUUUGGACUGAGGUUCGCGCAUCUGCAAGGAUGCUGGCGUAAUGGUCAUCAGCGACCCGUCUUGAAACACGGACCAAGGAGUCGUCUUCGUAUGCGAGUGUUCGGGUGUUAAACCCCUACGCGUAAUGAAAGUGAACGCAGGUGAGAGCUUCGGCGCAUCAUCGACCGAUCCUGAUGUUCUCGGAUGGAUUUGAGUAAGAGCAUACGGGGCCGGACCCGAAAGAAGGUGAACUAUGCCUGUAUAGGGUGAAGCCAGAGGAAACUCUGGUGGAGGCUCGCAGCGGUUCUGACGUGCAAAUCGAUCGUCAAAUAUGGGCAUGGGGGCGAAAGACUAAUCGAACCUUCUAGUAGCUGGUUUCCGCCGAAGUUCCCCCUCAGA
rnacentral:rRNA from 1 species